CGCCUCAGCCCGGGUCACCCUGUCCCUGCCCGGCCCCGCGUCCCCCGGAGCACGCCCUGCAGCGCAGAACGCGGCCUUUGGGCCAGGAGCGGGGACAAUGCCCUUGGCUCGGCAGCAGCGCCGGGAGGCAGCGGGCGGUGCCCUCAGGGCAGGAAAAAUCAUCAAACUCCUCCCAUCUUUGCCAAAAGCUUUGGUGUUUAAGCAGCCAAAGGCAAGAGGCCUCAGCACCAGGGUCUGCACUGGAGGGCUCUGGUCCUGCCCAUGCUGUGGGUGAGCCAGGGCUGGCACAGGGAAUCGUGCAGGUACUGGUCUGGCACCGGAGCUGCUGCCCUUUGGAGCCAUUUUAAGGGCUGUCCUUGCUGGAGCAGCCUGAUCCCUGCCAUCCCCAAGCCCUGAGACACAGAGGGAGCCCUGUCCCAAGUGGCCUUUGGCACCUUGUCAGGAAUGUGGCAGCAGCCCCGGGAGCAGGCUGGAGGAGAAAACCUCCCAGCAAGACAGAUUGCAGUGGAGGCCAGAGUUGUGUUUGGAGCAGGGAGUGCUGAGAGCUGCGUCUGCCUGUGCUGCCACAGCCUGACCACAGCCACAUGGAACAGCCUGGGAAAAGGGAUUGGGGGAAUUGCUGAUGCCCCAGUGAGAAGAACACAAACUCACAGCCAUUCAGCCUGACAGUCCCCUCCACCCAGAGCUCAGCACACAUCCUCAGAGCAGCCAGCAGGGAAGGGAGAAGAGGAUCCCUGUGGGAUGAGGCUGGAGAGAGCGAGCAGAGGAGCAGCCUUGGGCUGGAGAAAGGCAAAGGGACCAACAUGGUGUCACCAGGGCACCUGUGAGGAACAGAAUGGACACUUGGAGGCCACAUGGAGGAAAGGGAUGUGCAUCUCUGUCUUCAGCACACCUCCAGUGGGACCUACCUGUGAAAGCUUUCCAUGACAUCUGCACUUCCAGCUGGAUCCCUGGAAAACUCCAAACUCCAUCCCACUGAUUUUCAGGAGCCUCUGGCCUCCUCCUGCCCUGUGCUCCCAGCCAGCUGGGACACACUGAGGGAACACCAAGGAGCAUCACUGGCAGCAAGCAGGAGACACCAAGGCCUCUGGGCCAGAAAAACAGCCCUGGCCUCAGCAGCCAUCAUCGUUUUGACCUGGCAACACUCACCUGCAGGAAACGCCCCCUGCCACAGAGCAAGGUGACCCUCAGGAGUUGUCUUGUUCCUGGGGAAACAAAGGGACAUUGUGUGAGCACAUUUACAGCUGCUGGGUAAAUCCUGGAAAGGGCAGAAAAAGCAGGGUUAUGGGGAAGAGUUUGGUGCUGACAUGUUGAGUGCCAGCCAGUUCUGCCCUACAGCCAUUGCAGGGGCUGGUGUGUAAAGCAGCAUUAGCAGAAGGGAAGGAGCUGCAUUUGUAGAGGAGUUCUCUUACUGGCAGCAGUCAUUCCCAUCCCACACAGGACCUUUGGAACAACCCUGGGAUUGGCUCAGGUGUUUAGAGCAGGGUACUGAGAAGGCCAAAAUUCUGUGUUCAAUGUGCAGCUGGGCCGUCACUUCUCAGCAUUUGACUCGAUGAUCCUCAUGGCUCUGGAAAUAAAGAGCAAAUAGUU